AUGAACUGUGCCCCAGGACUGGUGAUUGUACUCCUCUUAAGAUUUGGAGGAAGCAAUGGAGACUCAGUAAUCCAGACAGAAGGACAAAUGACCCUCUCUGAAGGGACUUCCCUGACUGUGAACUGUUCCUAUAAAACCUCACAGUACCCAGCCCUAUUCUGGUAUGUUCAAUACCCUGGAGAAGGUCUACAGCUCCUCCUGAAAGCUGUGAAGGCCAAUGAUAAGGUCAGCAACAAAGGUUUUGAAGCUACAUAUGAUCAAGAAACGACCUCCUUCCACCUGGUGAAAGCCUCUGUCCAAGAGUCAGACUUGGCUGUGUACUACUGUGCUCUGGGUGACACAGUGGCAGAAACUGCAGGGGGAGCUGAGCAAAAACUCUGA